UCAACCUCGAAGACUCACUCUC
rnacentral:siRNA from 1 species